rfam:Felis catus isolate Cinnamon breed Abyssinian chromosome X, whole genome shotgun sequence.
GCCUGGGUGGCUCAGUCAGUCGAGCAUCUGACUUCGGCUCAGGUCGUGAUCUCGCAGUUCGUGGGUUCAAGCCCCGCGUCGGGCU